AUGUGGGAGCGCGGCAGGCCACCCCGUAAGCAGCGACCGGCGCCUCUGAUCUUGCCGGCGUCGGCGCUGGUGUCGCCCCCGCCCCCUCGGUUCGUCUUCCCCAGAUCCCUCUUCGCACUCGCCUCCCGCGCCAUGCCGUCGCGCCGCCCCUCCCCUGUCAUCCUCCUCCUCCUCGCGCUCGCGCUCGCGCUACUCUUCCUGCUCCUGUCCCCCUCUGGCCCCUCCGCCUCCCGCCUUUCCCACUCCUUCAUCUCCACCUCUCCUUCCUCUUCCGCCUCCUCCCCUCCCUCCCCCGUCAAGAUCUACCUGUACGACCUGCCGUCGAAGUUCACCUACGGCGUCGUCCGCAGCUAUAUGUCCGCGCGGGGCCCCUCGGGUUCGUCGGAUGCGGCCGCGGUGCUGGCAGACGAGGAGCUGCGCUAUCCGGGGCACCAGCACUCGGCGGAGUGGUGGCUCUUCAAGGACCUCCGUCGCCGCGGACCACGUGAUCGCCCCGUGGCUCGCGUGGAUGACCCGGCCGAGGCCGACCUCUUCUACGUGCCCUUCUUCUCGUCCCUCAGCCUCGUCGUCAACCCCAUCCGGCCCCCAGCCGCCGCCAAUGCCUCGGAGGCGGCGGCCACGGCGGGACCUUCGUAUAGCGACGAGGCCAUGCAGGACGAGCUGGUGGAGUGGCUGGAGCGGCAGUCGUACUGGCGGCGGCACCGGGGAAGGGACCACGUGUUCAUCUGCCAGGAUCCCAACGCCCUCUACCGGGUUGUGGAUCGGAUCAGCAAUGCCGUGCUCCUAGUCUCUGACUUCGGCCGCUUGCGUGGUGAUCAGGUCUCUCUCGUCAAGGAUGUCAUCCUGCCUUACUCCCACCGCAUCAACCCCUUCAAGGGCGAUGUCAAUGUUGACAGCAGGCCUGCAUUGCUGUUUUUCAUGGGCAACAGAUACCGAAAGGAGGGCGGGAAGGUCCGUGAUACACUUUUUCAAGUUCUUGAAAAUGAGGGAGAUGUAAUCAUAAAACAUGGAGCCCAAUCAAGGGUGAGCCGGCGUAUGGCCACACAAGGAAUGCACUCAUCCAAAUUUUGCCUGCAUCCUGCUGGAGAUACUCCCUCGGCCUGCAGAUUGUUUGAUGCACUUGUCAGUUUAUGUGUUCCUGUUAUAGUUAGUGAUCACAUCGAGUUACCAUUCGAAGAUGUUAUAGACUACAGUAAUAUCUCAAUUUUUGUUGACACAAGCAAGGCUGUACAGCCUGGAUUCUUAACUUCGAUGCUUCGGAGAGUCAGUUCAGAGCGGAUUCUGGAGUAUCAGAGAGAAAUACAAAGGGUAAAACAUUACUUUGAGUAUGAAGAUCUGAAUGGACCAGUGAAUCAAAUAUGGCGCCAAGUUUCCAUGAAAGCACCACUUAUCAAGCUGUUGAUUAACCGGAACAAACGCCUAGUUGAAAGAGGCACUAAUGAAACUGAUUGCUCGUGCAUCUGUUCAACACCGAGCGAGAUAUCUACUGCUGGCUAG
rnacentral:rRNA from 1 species